rnacentral:rRNA from 1 species
UACAGAGGUCUCAAGCGUUGUUCGGAUUCAUUGGGCGUAAAGGGCGCGUAGGCGGCCUACUAAGUCGGACGUGAAAUCCCUCGGCUCAACCGAGGAACUGCGUCCGAUACUGGCAGGCUGGAAUCCGGGAGAGGGAUGUGGAAUUCCAGGUGUAGCGGUGAAAUGCGUAGAUAUCUGGAGGAACACCGGUGGCGAAGGCGGCAUCCUGGACCGGUAUUGACGCUGAGGCGCGAAAGCGUGGGGAGCGAACAGG